UACGAAGGGGGCUAGCGUUGCUCGGAAUCACUGGGCGUAAAGCGCACGUAGGCGGAUUGCUAAGUCAGGGGUGAAAUCCUGGAGCUCAACUCCAGAACUGCCUUUGAUACUGGCGAUCUUGAGUCCGGGAGAGGUGAGUGGAACUGCGAGUGUAGAGGUGAAAUUCGUAGAUAUUCGCAAGAACACCAGUGGCGAAGGCGGCCAUCUGGAUCAACACUGACGCUGAGGCACGAAAGCGUGGGGAGCAAACAGGG
rnacentral:rRNA from 1 species